rnacentral:rRNA from 1 species
AUUGAACGCUGGCGGCAUGCUUUACACAUGCAAGUCGAACGGCAGCGCGGGGCAACCUGGCGACGAGUGGCGAACGGGUGCGUAAUAUAUCGGAACGUACCCAGAAGUGGGGGAUAACGUAGCGAAAGUUACGCUAAUACCGCAUACGAUCUACGGAUGAAAGUAGGGGACCGCAAGGCCUUAUGCUUUUGGAGCGGCCGAUAUCUGAUUAGCUAGUUGGUGAGGUAAAGGCUCACCAAGGCGACGAUCAGUAGCUGGUCUGAGAGGACGACCAGCCACACUGGAACUGAGACACGGUCCAGACUCCUACGGGAGGCAGCAGUGGGGAAGUUUGGACAAUGGGCGCAAGCCUGAUCCAGCAAUGCCGCGUGAGUGAAGAAGGCCUUCGGGUUGUAAAGCUCUUUUGUCAGGGAAGAAACGGUAGAGGCUAAUAUCCUUUGCUAAUGACGGUACCUGAAGAAUAAGCACCGGCUAACUACGUG